GCCUGGUUAGCUUAGUUGGUAGUGCGUCUGCCUCGUAAGCGCUAGGCCGCGGGUUCGAUUCCCGCCCGGGGCG
rfam:Asian citrus Psyllid, Diaphorina citri - Florida Strain, whole genome shotgun sequence.